UCGACUUCAGCAAUGCCAGAGGCAGAGCC
rnacentral:sRNA from 1 species